AGCCCAAUGGAGGGGAAUAACCUUUCUUAAAAGGUUGGCUAAUACCGCAUAAGCCCUACGGGGGAAAGCGGGGGAUCGUAAGACCUCGCGCCGAUGGUUGACCCGAAGCCGGAUUAGCUAGUUGGUAGGGUAACGGCCUACCAAGGCGACGAUCCGUAGCUGGUCUGAGAGGACGACCAGCCACACAGGGACUGAGACACGGCCCAGACUCCUACGGGAGGCAGCAGUGGGGAAUAUUGGACAAUGGGGGAAACCCUGAUCCAGCGACGCCGCGUGUGUGAAGAAGGCCUGCGGGUUGUAAAGCACUUUUAGUGGGGAUGAAAAGCUCAGGGCUAAUACCUCUGGGUCUUGACCUAACCCAAAGAAAAAGCACCGGCUAACUCUGUGCCAGCAGCCGCGGUAAUACAGAGGGUGCAAGAGUUAAUCGGAAUUACUGGGCGUAAAGCGUGCGUAGACGGUUACGUAAGUCGGGUGUGAAAGCCCCGGGCUCGACCUGGGAAUUGCUUUCGAGACUGCAUAGCUAGGGGUGCGGAAGAGGGAAGCGGAAUUUCCGGUGUAACGGUGAAAAUGC
rnacentral:rRNA from 1 species